rnacentral:rRNA from 1 species
AGUGAACGCUGGCGGUAGGCCUAACACAUGCAAGUCGAACGGCAGCACAGUAAGAGCUUGCUCUUACGGGUGGCGAGUGGCGGACGGGUGAGGAAUACAUCGGAAUCUACUUUUUCGUGGGGGAUAACGUAGGGAAACUUACGCUAAUACCGCAUACGACCUACGGGUGAAAGCAGGGGAUCUUCGGACCUUGCGCGAUUGAAUGAGCCGAUGUCGGAUUAGCUAGUUGGCGGGGUAAAGGCCCACCAAGGCGACGAUCCGUAGCUGGUCUGAGAGGAUGAUCAGCCAAACUGAAACUGAGAAACGGUCCAGACUCCUACGGAGGCAGCAGUGGGGAAUAUUGGACAAUGGGCGCAAGCCUGAUCCAGCCAUACCGCGUGGGUGAAGAAGGCCUUCGGGUUGUAAAGCCCUUUUGUUGGGAAAGAAAAGCAGCAGGUUAAUACCCCGCUGUUCUGACGGUACCCAAAGAAUAAGCACCGGCUAACUUCGUG